CUGGAUUCUCUGCUCAGAGAAAGAAUUUCGAUUCACCUGCCACAGAUCCCAUGUGCACAAAGACCUUCUGAAUCUCAGCUCCUACGACCGGCAACCUCAAACGCUUCCUUCUCGGACUCCACUCCAAGUGAAACCUGUCUGCCCUCCAAGGAUCAAACUACUAGCUGCUCCUCCAUACCAAAUGUGCAUCCCUGGACUUGGCUGCUUCCCUCCUGACCUUGCUCUCUCUUCAGUGAUCAUAACUCUGGCACCUGAAUCCCUGCAACCCUUCCUGGACCAAGCUAGCUUUAAGACUCCUGUAAAUAAAAAAAUGUAAACUUUU